rnacentral:rRNA from 1 species
AGCGAACGCUGGCGGCAGGCCUAACACAUGCAAGUCGAACGAACCUUUCGGGGUUAGUGGCGGACGGGUGAGUAACACGUGGGAACGUGCCUUUAGGUUCGGAAUAACUCAGGGAAACUUGUGCUAAUACCGAAUGUGCCCUUCGGGGGAAAGAUUUAUCGCCUUUAGAGCGGCCCGCGUAUGAUUAGCUAGUUGGUUGAGGUAAUGGCUCACCAAGGCGACGAUCAGUAGCUGGUCUGAGAGGAUGAUCAGCCACAUUGGGACUGAGACACGGCCCAAACUCCUACGGGAGGCAGCAGUGGGGAAUCUUGCGCAAUGGGCGAAAGCAUGACGCAGCCAUGCCGCGUGAAUGAUGAAGGUCUGAGGAUUGUAAAAUUCUUUCACCGGGGACGAUAAUGACGGUACCCGGAGAAGAAGCCCCGGCUAACUUCGUG